rnacentral:rRNA from 1 species
CUUCCCAGUCGAAUAGUGUGUGGGCAGAGCAACUUGAAACCGUCUCGAAUAAUCGGACUCCGCUCCGAGGGACAAACUCAACCUGUUGAAAUUAAAGGCCUUUAGAAACUUGAAUUCUAUGGACCGAACUAAAACGAAGCAUCCAAGGUCGGGUUAUGCACCGUUAUUGAAACCCACCUGAAACAUUAAAGGGCAUGAACUUAUAACUUGCCCUAUUAGAGUGCCGAACAACUAAGCACUCUAUUCGAAACUUCCUGAAGGCGGAUCAAGGGCUCUGGAUCGGGGCUCGUAGUAACGGCUCGCCAGAUAGGGAAG